CGAUGGAGAUUGGUUCACCAUACGUUAUAACGACACAUGGGAAUACCCGUAUUCGAUUAUUACAUCGUCCGUGGCUAGAUACAUCCGCGUAAAAAGCCUUUACACUAUAGGGAUGUGCGAGGUGUAUGUAUUUGGAGAAUGUCCUUCAUUGAGGUGGGGUGAAUCGUGCCAAAACAGAUGUGGACAUUGCAACAAUGGUUACACGUGCAACCCGAUAUUCGGGACAUGCAAGGAUGGAUGCGCUAGCGGAUACAAAAAUCCAUAUUGUUCUGAAGAAUGCGACGCAUACCGAUUUGGACAGAACUGCAACCAGACGUGUAGUUCAAACUGUGUGAAUAUGUGCAAUAAAGUAGAUGGAUCAUGUUUGUGCAGACCUGGUUUUUUGGGAUCGCAAUGCUCACGCG